rnacentral:rRNA from 1 species
GGCGGCGUGCUUAACACAUGCAAGUCGAGCGGAAAGGCUUCCUUCGGGGGUACUCGAGCGGCGAACGGGUGAGUAACACGUGAGUAAUCUGCCCCUCACUCUGGGAUAACUGCCUGAAAGGGUGGCUAAUACCGGAUGCGACCGUCCCCUGCAUGGGGUGGUGGUGGAAAGGGUUUCUGGUGGGGGAUGUGCUCGCGGCCUAUCAGCUUGUUGGUGGGGUAAUGGCCUACCAAGGCUUUGACGGGUAGCCGGCCUGAGAGGGUGACCGGCCACACUGGGACUGAGACACGGCCCAGACUCCUACGGGAGGCAGCAGUGGGGAAUAUUGGACAAUGGGCGGAAGCCUGAUCCAGCAACGCCGCGUGAGGGAUGACGGCCUUCGGGUUGUAAACCUCUUUCAGCACAGACGAAGCGCCCGUUGUGGGUGGUGACGGUAUG